AAAGUGCAAACUCCUGGAGAAACAAAAGGAAAUUUAUGAUGCUCUGAAUUAGAUGUCCAGCCACAGACAUUGUGAUGACUUCCUACUCAGGCCGUGAUCAGUGUCCUGCUUCCUUGGCAUGACCCUUUGGCAACCUGAGAAGCUGGGAAAGGUCCUAGGUCAGGAGGAAGAGAACAUGAGUUGUACUCCAGGUCUCAUGAUCAACACAUCAGGUCUCAAUUUCUUCACCUACAAAAUGGUAAUAAUAAUUUUCCCUAAGAUGAAAAGUGUUUUUGAAAAAGUAUAAAAACAGUGCAAACUAAGGCACUAUUAUCAAGCAGGUGUGCCUCACUUCAAACCUAAACAAUUUUUAUGGAUAAAUGUAAGAAAAAUAGCAAACUAAAGACAUCUCUGCCACAGAGACAGGUGAGUUCUAAAUGAUGUACUCUUUGGAGUGAGUGCACGAUUCAAAACAAAGCAGGGGGCCUAGAGCAGCAAUAGUAGCAGCACCAAGAAACGUAUUAGAAAAGCAUAUUCCUGGGGCUCCACACCAGAUCUGACUCAGAAACUGAGGGCGGGGCCCAGCCGCCAGUGUUUCACAAGCCCUGCCCCCUCACCCAGGUGAGUCUGACUCAGGCUCAGAUUGGAGAACCACAGGUCUAAGCCUGUAACAUUACCCGGCAUUCUUCCUCUUGUGGUUGAGCUCCAGGAAGCCAAAGCCAAGCUGCCCAAGGAUCAUGCCAACUACCAGGAAGCAACAGACUGACCAUGCCAGAUGAGGAAGUCACCACGAUGUCUGGGCAAACUAGAACAAAUGGAUGGAUGUUAAGGAAGCCGAUUUUGCACCAUGUCAGGAAGAACUUUUUGCAGAAGGAAGUUGAGUGAUUCAAAGCAUGGGAAAUAUUGAAUGUGUUAUCGCUGGUUUGAAAAUGGAGGAGACCACAUGGCAAGGAAUGAGGAAGGCCUCUAUGAGGUGAAACAAGCCCCUGGCUGAGGGUCAGCAAGCAAUCGUAACAUCAGUCCUACAAAGGCAAGGAACUGCAUGGUGCUAACAGUGAGAAUGAUCUUGGCACUAUUUUUUAAAGACAAGUUCAAGUCACCUAUCCAGGUGGAAAAUGCCAUCAGGCUUGAGAAAUGCUGUACUGAUAAUCUCUGCCAGAGCUGCUGGCUUGCUGUGGGUUCUCUUCUGGAAAGGCAAGGCCUGUUAUUAUUAUUUUUCUUUAAAUUUCUAAAAAGAGGUAAAUUUAUGAAAUAUGUACAAGUGUAUCUUCCAGUUGUCAUCUACGUCAUUUAUCACUGAAAACAUUCCUUCUCUGUCAUAUGCACACAGCCUACUCCCAGUUGUCUUCCUGUUAAUCCUCUAUGGAAAGUGCUCACAAAGCUGAUUCCACUCUGGCUGUGGGGGAUGUGAGUUUGAAUGUACCAUCCUACUACUUCUUUUCCAUGUGGCAGCAGGUUGAGCUUAUGGGGCCAUUCAUCAUCGUUAUUGACAUAUUUAUAUGUGGGCAUAUUGAAUGGUGCUAUGGGGAUUUUAGAUAAAUAAGGGAAAUAUGAAAGAGCGUGUGGUUCAUGCCUUUGAGGAUGUUAAAUUACAGGCAGUCACCAUAUGCAAAUGCUUAAUCAUGUCACAUGGUGACCAUUUACUGAUGCUCCUAUACCAUAUUUCCAUAACAUUAGUGUUCUCAUAUGGUGCAAUAAUCUCCUGCCAAGAUAUGCAAAAACAACUAAAUGAGGAGCCUUUUCCAAAACGUUUUCAUAUUUCUGCUACCAAAUUCAUCUAAUAGAAAUAACUCUUUGAGUAAGUGCCACUUGCCUACUGUGGAAAAUACUUUAUCUGGUGGCACUGUUGAAACAUUCAAUAUGAAUUACAGGCACUUACUGCAGGGGAAUCACGGAAUCCUAUUUCCCCCUUCCAAACCAAGAGAAAAAUUGCUACCUACCCUAGGUAUUCUUUCUUUGUAAAGACAAAUGACAAUGCAUUCGCUUUCAGGGUAGUUCAGCUAUUUCUCACCUAGAAGAGUGGUUUAAUUCUCUAUUUUAACUGCUCAGGUAAAAGGGUCCUUCUGCAUCUCAAAGAAAGCUUUUGGCAAUAAUUUUCACAAAAAAUAACACACUAACUCUAUUCUUAAUAUUGUUUUAAACUUGCCUUUGGGAAGAGAGAAAGCAUGGCAUUUCUGACAGUAAACAUGAACGUUUUACCAAAAUCUUCGCUUUAAUCAUGUACUCAAAGCUGAAGUGCUGGAUGUUUUAAAAUUUUAAGUUAUGUAGAGAGAAUAUUUUUCCUUCAUUAAGUUAUUCUUAAAAGAUUUUUAAAACAAAGCUUCA